AGCUUGCUGCCUGACCUAUCGGCAGACGGGUGAGUAAUGCUUAUGAAUCUGCCUAUUAGUGGGGGACAACAUUCCGAAAGGAAUGCUAAUACCGCAUACGCCCUACAGGGGAAAGCAAGGGAUCUUCAGACCUUGCGCUAAUAGAUGAGCCUAAGUCAAAUUAUCUAGUUGGUGGGGUAAAGGCCUACCAAGGCGACGAUCUGUAUCGGGUCUGAGAGGAUGAUCCGCCACACUGGGACUGAGACACAGCCCAGACUCCUACGGGAGGCAGCAGUGGGGAAUAUUGGACAAUGGGCGAAAGCCUGAUCCAGCCAUGCCGCGUGUGUGAAGAAGGCCUUUUGGUUGUAAAGCACUUUAAGCGAGGAGGAGGCUACUUGGAUUAAUACUCUAGGAUAGUGGACGUUACUCGCAGAAUAAGCACCGGCUAACUCUGUGCCAGCAGCCGCGGUAAUACAGAGGGUGCGAGCGUUAAUCGGAUUUACUGGGCGUAAAGCGUGCGUAGGCGGCUUUUUAAGUCGGAUGUGAAAUCCCUGAGCUUAACUUAGGAAUUGCAUUCGAUACUGGGAAGCUAGAGUAUGGGAGAGGAUGGUAGAAUUCCAGGUGUAGCGGUGAAAUGCGUAGAGAUCUGGAGGAAUACCGAUGGCGAAGGCAGCCAUCUGGCCUAAUACUGACGCUGAGGUACGAAAGCAUGGGGAGCAAACAGGAUUAGAUACCCUGGUAGUCCAUGCCGUAAACGAUGUCUACUAGCCGUUGGGGCCUUUGAGGCUUUAGUGGCGCAGCUAACGCGAUAAGUAGACCGCCUGGGGAGUACGGUCGCAAGACUAAAACUCAAAUGAAUUGACGGGGGCCCGCACAAGCGGUGGAGCAUGUGGUUUAAUUAGAUGCAACGCGAAGAACCUUACCUGGUCUUGACAUAGUAAGAACUUUCCAGAGAUGGAUUGGUGCCUUCGGGAACUUACAUACAGGUGCUGCAUGGCUGUCGUCAGCUCGUGUCGUGAGAUGUUGGGUUAAGUCCCGCAACGAGCGCAACCCUUUUCCUUAUUUGCCAGCGGGUUAAGCCGGGAACUUUAAGGAUACUGCCAGUGACAAACUGGAGGAAGGCGGGGACGACGUCAAGUCAUCAUGGCCCUUACGACCAGGGCUACACACGUGCUACAAUGGUCGGUACAAAGGGUUGCUACCUAGCGAUAGGAUGCUAAUCUCAAAAAGCCGAUCGUAGUCCGGAUUGGAGUCUGCAACUC
rnacentral:rRNA from 1 species